GUGCCAGCAGCCGCGGUAAUACGGAGGGUGCAAGCGUUAUCCGGAUUCACUGGGUUUAAAGGGUGCGUAGGUGGAGUGGUAAGUCAGUGGUGAAAUCUCCAAGCUUAACUUGGAAACUGCCGUUGAUACUAUCAUUCUUGAAUAUCGUGGAGGUAAGCGGAAUAUGUCAUGUAGCGGUGAAAUGCUUAGAUAUGACAUAGAACACCGAUUGCGAAGGCAGCUUGCUACACGAUCAUUGACACUGAGGCACGAAAGCGUGGGGAUCAAACAGGAUUAGAUACCCUGGUAGUCC
rnacentral:rRNA from 1 species